rnacentral:lncRNA from 1 species
UAUUAAAAAUCAUUUUUAAAAACUAGAAUUAAAAAGAGAAAUAAUGCAAUUGGUCCCAUAUUUUUUGGAAUUAAAAUGAAAGAGUUAUGAAUUUUUGAAGGGAAAUGAAAUAAAAGAAAUAAAAUGGAAAUUAUAAAAAUCAGAAAAAAAACCACAGCGCUUGGAUGAAACCUCAUUAAUUGACGUGUCUAAUCUGAUGGUCAUGAAGCGCGCGCGUACCAUAGGCUCAAGUCAAUGCAAC